CUGAGAGUUUGAUCCUGGCUCAGAACGAACGCUGGCGGCAGGCUUAACACAUGCAAGUCGAACGAACUCUUCGGAGUUAGUGGCAGACGGGUGAGUAACGCGUGGGAACCUACCUUUAGGUACGGAACAACAGUUGGAAACGACUGCUAAUACCGUAUGAGCCCUAUGGGGGAAAGAUUUAUCGCCUAAGGAUGGGCCCGCGUUGGAUUAGCUAGUUGGUGGGGUAAUGGCCUACCAAGGCGACGAUCCAUAGCUGGUCUGAGAGGAUGAUCAGCCACAUCGGGACUGAGACACGGCCCGAACUCCUACGGGAGGCAGCAGUGGGGAAUAUUGGACAAUGGGCGCAAGCCUGAUCCAGCCAUGCCGCGUGAGUGAUGAAGGCCCUAGGGUUGUAAAGCUCUUUCAGCGAGGAGGAUAAUGACGUUACUCGCAGAAGAAGCCCCGGCUAACUUCGUGCCAGCAGCCGCGGUAAUACGAAGGGGGCUAGCGUUGUUCGGAAUCACUGGGCGUAAAGCGCACGUAGGCGGACUUUUAAGUCAGGGGUGAAAUCCCGGGGCUCAACCCCGGAACUGCC
rnacentral:rRNA from 1 species